rnacentral:rRNA from 1 species
CUCAUUAAACUAGUUAUAGUUCACUAGAACAAAACUUUUAAAUGGAUAACUGUGGUAAUUCUAGAGCUAAUACAUGCAAUUAAGUUUUGCCCAUUAAUGGGAAAAACGCUUUUAUUAGAUCAAAACCAAUCGAAUGGUUUACUAUUCGUAAUUUUGAUGACUCUGAAUAACACCGCAGAUCGCAUAGUCUUUGUACUGGCGAUAUAUCUUUCAAAUGCCUAACUUAUCAACUGUCGAUGGUAGAUUAUAUGUCUACCAUGGUUAUAACGGGUAACGGGGAAUCAGGGUUCGAUUCCGGAGAGGGAGCCUGAGAAACAGCUACCACAUCCAAGGAAGGCAGCAGGCACGCAAAUUACCCACUCCCGGCACGGGGAGGUAGUGACAAAAAAUAACGAUACGGGACUCAUCCGAGGCCCCGUAAUCGGAAUGAGAACACUUUAAAACCUUUAACAAGGAUCUAUUGGAGGGAAAGUCUGGUGCCAGCAUCCGCGGUAAUUCCAGCUCCAAUAGCGUAUAUUAAAGUUGUUGCGGUUAAAAAGCUCGUAGUUGGUUCUGUGUGCCAUGCUGUUGGUUCACCGCCUGCCGGUGUAACUGACAUGUCAUGGGACGUCCUGUCGGUGGUAAUUAAAGGCCUAUUUUUUAGAAAAGGCUCUGCCUCCAAUAAUUAAUAGGUUACUUUAAUUACCGAUUAAUACCUGCCGCGGUGCUCUUUACUGAGUGUCGAGGUAGGCCGACACGUUUACUUUGAACAAAUUAAAGUGCUUAAAGCAGGCAAAAGUCUGCCUGAAUAGUAGUGCAUGGAAUAAUAAAAUAAGACCUUGGUUCUAUUUUGUUGGUUUUCUGAAUUUAAGGUAAUGAUCAAUAUGGACAGUCGGGGGCAUCCGUAUUGCGACGUUAGAGGUGAAAUUCUUGGAUCGUCGCAAGACGAACUAAAGCGAAAGCAUUUGCCAAGUAUGUCUUAAUUGAUCAAGAACGAAAGUUAGAGGUUCGAAGGCGAUCAGAUACCGCCCUAGUUCUAACCAUAAACGAUAUCAACUAGCGAUCCGUCGAUGUUUUUUUCAUGACUCGACGGGCAGCUUCCGGGAAACCAAAGCUUUUGGGUUCCGGGGGAAGUAUGGUUGCAAAGCUGAAACUUAAAGGAAUUGACGGAAGGGCACCACCAGCAGUGGAGCCUGCGGUUCAAUUUGACUCAACACUGGAAAGCUUACCAGGCCCAGACAUUAGAAGGAUUGACAGAUUGAUAGCUC